GAACGAACGCUGGCGGCGUGGAUUAGGCAUGCAAGUCGAACGAGAAUCUGAGAGUUCAAGUUUUCGGACAAGAACUUUUGGAGGAAAGUGGCGGAAGGGUGAGUACAACAUGGAUAAUCUACCUUCAAGUUGGGUAUAGCUUCCCGAAAGGGGAGAUAAUCCCGAAUGUGGUGAUCCGGCGCAUGCCGGAGAAUCCAAAGGCGGGGACCGCAAGGCCUGCCGCUUGGAGAUGAGUCCGUGCACUAUCAGCUAGUUGGCGGGGUAACGGCCCACCAAGGCGAUGACGGUUAGCUGGUCUGAGAGGAUGGUCAGCCACACUGGGACUGAGAUACUGCCCAGACUCCUACGGGAGGCAGCAGUGAGGAAUAUUGGUCAAUGGGCGCAAGCCUGAACCAGCCAUCCCGCGUGCAGGAAGACGGCGCUAUGCGUUGUAAACUGCUUUUCCAGGGAGAGAAACUUGCGCACGUGUUGCGCAAUUGACGGUACCCUGGGAAUAAGCAUCGGCUAACUCCGUGCCAGCAGCCGCGGUAAUACGGAGGAUGCGAGCGUUAUCCGGAUUCAUUGGGUUUAAAGGGUGCGUAGGCGGACUAUUAAGUCAGUGGUGAAAUCCUGCAGCUUAACUGCAGAACUGCCAUUGAUACUGAUAGCCUUGAGUUUGGUUAAGGUAGGCGGAAUGUGUAAUGUAGCGGUGAAAUGCUUAGAUAUUACACAGAACACCAAUUGCGUAGGCAGCUUACUGAGCCGACACUGACGCUGAGGCACGAAAGCGUGGGGAUCGAACAGGAUUAGAUACCCUGGUAGUCCACGCCGUAAACGAUGAUUACUCGCUGUUGGCGAUACACUGUCAGCGGCUAAGCAAAAGCAAUAAGUAAUCCACCUGGGGAGUACGGCCGCAAGGUUGAAACUCAAAGGAAUUGACGGGGGCCCGCACAAGCGGAGGAACAUGUGGUUUAAUUCGAUGAUACGCGAGGAACCUUACCUGGGCUUAAAUGUAGAGUGCAUUUUCUAGAGAUAGGAAUUCCCUUCGGGGCUUUCUGCAAGGUGCUGCAUGGUUGUCGUCAGCUCGUGCCGUGAGGUGUCGGGUUAAGUCCCAUAACGAGCGCAACCCUUAUCGUUAGUUGCCAUCUGGUAAAGCAGGGGACUCUAGCGAAACUGCCACCGUAAGGUGAGAGGAAGGUGGGGAUGACGUCAAAUCAGCACGGCCCUUAUGUCCAGGGCUACACACGUGUUACAAUGGUCGGUACAGAGGGCAGCUACCUGGUGACAGGAUGCUAAUCUCGAAAACCGGUCUCAGUUCGGAUCGAAGUCUGCAACUCGACUUCGUGAAGCUGGAUUCGCUAGUAAUCGCGCAUCAGCCAUGGCGCGGUGAAUACGUUCCCGGGCCU
rnacentral:rRNA from 1 species